GAUGAACGCUAGCUACAGGCUUAACACAUGCAAGUCGAGGGGUAACGAGAGGGAAGCUUGCUUUCCUUGUCGACGACCGGCGCACGGGUGAGUAACGCGUAUCCAACCUGCCCCCAACUAGGGAAUAACCUUGCGAAAGUAAGACUAAUACCCUAUAAUUUCCUCAGAUGUCAUCUGACGAGGAAUAAAGAUAUAUUGGUUGUGGAUGGGGAUGCGUCUGAUCGGCUUGUUGGCGGGGUAACGGCCCACCAAGGCAACGAUCAGUAGGGGUUCUGAGGUGUGAGUACCCCACAUUGGAACUACGCCACGGUCCAAACUCCGACAGUAGGCAUCAGUGAGGAAUAUUGGUCAAUGGGCGUAAGCCUAAACCAGCCGAGUAGCGUGCAGGAUAAAGGCCCUAGGUGUUGUAAACUGCUUUUAUACAGGAAUAAAGUUAGCCACGUGUGGUUAUUUGUAGGUACUGAAUGAAUAAGGACCGGCUAAUUCCGUGCCAGCAGCCGCCGUAA
rnacentral:rRNA from 1 species